rnacentral:rRNA from 1 species
CGGGGGGAGCAAGCGUUGUUCGGAUUUACCGGGCGUAAAGGGCGCGUAGGCGGUCGUGACAAGUCACUUGUGAAAUCUCCGGGCUUAACUCGGAACGGUCAAGUGAUACUGUCGGACUAGAGUACAGAAGGGGCAACUGGAAUUCUCGGUGUAGCGGUGAUAUGCGUAGAUAUCGAGAGGAACACCUGCGGCGAAGGCGGGUUGCUGGGCUGAUACUGACGCUGAGGCGCGAAAGCCAGGGGAGCGAACGGGAUUAGAUACCCCGGUAGUCCUGGCCUUAAACGAUGAAUGCUUGGUGUCUCGGGUUAUAAAGUCCCGGGGUGCCGUCGCUAACGCUUUUAGCAUUCCGCCUGGGGAGUACGGUCGCAAGACUG